AUGCUGCCUGCUGCACUGCUGAUACUUCUGGCAACUUUACCCUGUUUCCACUGUGGCAUUGAGCUCACUCAGCCAAAUACAGUGUCCAUACAGCCUGGUCAGUCAUUGUCCAUCACCUGUAAGUCUCUGGAUAUUCACUGUCUGACAGCAGCUACUGCACAGGAUGGAUACGGCAGGUUUCUGUUUCUGGAGGAAGAGCUCUGGAGUGGAUUGGAUACAUAUGUUAUACCGGGGGCACAUACUAUAAAGAUUCACUGAAACAUAAAUUCAGCAUCAGCAGAGACACUUCCAGCAGCACAGUGACACUGCAAGGACAGAGCGUUCAGCCUGAAGACACAGCUGUGUAUUACUGUGCCCGUUAG